AAGUCGUAACAAGGUUUCCGUAGGUGAACCUAUCCAACGUUAAAACAACCCUGUGAACCUUAGCCUGCUCGCGUAGCCCAUGAAAGCAGCAAUCCCUGGUAAAUCAUUGUUAACCAGUUUUUGAGUCAGGGACCUCUGCCGAUGAAAAGUUACAGUUACGUUCGUAGCGGUAGUCAAAGCGACUCGGCACCCCCAAGCAGUCAUUGUCUGAAAGCGUCAUUGAUUGUGUAAGGGUGGCGCUAUCGAUCGUUGGAGGCCGACACGGCUGACGACCGGGUCCCUGGGUCACCAUGCCCCUUACUAACCACACUGUAAAUAAGUUGGGCCUGCGUUAGAUUCGCGGUCAAAAAAAAACGAACAACUGUUAACAAUGGAUAUCUUGGUUCUC
rnacentral:misc_RNA from 1 species